AUGGCAUGUGAAACUUCUGAUUUUCUGAGGCCCUUGAGUGAUGGAGCUGGUGACGUGAAGGCUACUUCUUGCAGCACUGACUAUAAACACGGGCUAGCUAUGGCACCAGGAAGAAGACUAAAGUUAUCUGUUCAGCUUUCCUAUACAGAGAACAAGGAUGAAGAAGGAAGAAUAGAAAUAACUCCAUGUCCCGUGGUCAAAUUAGCCUCACACAGGAUCCCUGGCUUGGUGGGUCCCCGUAAACCUGAUAUCUCUUUGACUUUAGUGCCUACCAACUGGGAACGUUGUUUGGUGAUGGGGAAGUGUGUUCCUGAGAGGUAAUUUCACAGGGGAAGAAGGAAAGCACCCCUAGCAUCAUAGAAGGAGUACGUAGGGAGCUAGACAGGAUUAGUAAAAGCAACAGGAUUUUAGUUUGAUCCCAGCUGUACAAUCACAACCACUGCCAAGAGAGACAGUAAAGCUUUGGGGAAAAGAACGGCUAAAGCAGAGAUGAUUUCUGAGAUGUCUAGAAAGAUGUGCACACUGCGAAUUGGGAAAGAUAAGAAGGGGAAGAGAGUUAUGAACAUGAGCUUUAAGGUUUUUACUCUCAAGGAGAAACAAGCCUACAGGGCCAGGUUGGAGCUCUUUUUGGGCCCAGAGAGGAGAUAUGCUUGGAAAAGCCCUGGAGCACAGCGCCGAGAUCAGAAGCAGCCGGCCAAAGGCCCGUGAGAAGGACCUGUGAUACACUCCAGAUCCCGGUCUGUUAGUGCUGCUCUUAGAGUGGUUACCGUUCUGCCUUUCUGUGAAGCCUCAUGCACUGCAUUAAACCCAAGGGCUCUUUAUACAGCUAGGAUACAGAAAUUAAUCUUUGCAAAGAGUCCCUUGUCUGUACACUCCCUAGUCUCACUUCAUCUCCUGUGAAGGUUUAAGGAACUCUGCAGCUCCACAACCUCCUGAAAUACUUUCUGUCAGAGCUUUCCUUGCUCUUAUACUGAUCUUGCUGAUGGCUUAUCCUUCUGGUUAUCACAGUGAUAUAAUAUCUUCGUGUUUCUCUCAGAAAA
rnacentral:lncRNA from 1 species